UGGGAAAUCCGGUGGCCUAACCAUCGGGCGGCCAGGUAAUACUAUCAGGCUCGGGACUAGGAGAGACCAGAGGUACUCAUGAGGUAGGAGUGAAAUCCUGUAAUCUUAUGAGGACCACCAGUGGUGAAGACGUCUGGUUAGAAUAGGUCCGACGGUGAGGGACGAAGGCUGGGGGCGCAAACCGGAUUAGAUACCCGGGUAGUCCCAGCAGUAAACGAUGCCAGCUAUGUGUUGCUGGAACCAUGGGUUCCAGCAGUGCCGAAGGGAAGCCGUGAAGCUGGCCACCUGGGAAGUAUGGUCGCAAGGCUGAAACUUAAAGGAAUUGGCGGGGGAGUACCACAACCGGUGGAGCCUGCGGUUUAAUUGGAUACAACGCCGGGAAUCUUACCGGAGGGGACAGCAGUAUGAAGGCCAGGCUAAAGACCUUGCCAGAUCAGCUGAGAGGAGGUGCAUGGCCGUCGCCAGUUCGUACCGUGAGGCAUCCUGUUUAGUCAGGCAACGAUCGAGACCCGCAGUCUUAUUUGCCAGCAUGCCCUUUGGGGUGUAUGGGUACAAUAAGACGACCGCCAGCGCUAAG
rnacentral:rRNA from 1 species